AGAGAGAGACAUGCGCGCAUAUCAAUAAGCGGAGGAAAAGAAGCUAACUAAGGAUUCCCUCAGUAACGGCGAGUGAAGCGGGAAGAGCUCAAAUUUGAAAUCUUCAAGGUUCUACCUUGACGAAUUGUAGUUUAAAGAAGUGUUUUCUGUUGGAGUUUUGGUAAAAGUUCUUUGGAAUAGGACAUCAUAGAGGGUGAGAAUCCCGUAUUUGACCAUUAUUUCCAGCUUUGUGAUACACUUUCAAAGAGUCGGAUUGUUUGGGAAUGCAGUCCAAAAUGGGUGGUAAAUUUCAUCUAAAGCUAAAUAUUGGCGAGAGACCGAUAGCGAACAAGUACCGUGAGGGAAAGAUGAAAAGAACUUUGAAAAGAGAGUUAAACAGUACGUGAAAUUGUCAAAAGGGAAGCGUUUGACACCAGUGUUGUUUUCUCGAAAAUCAAUUAAAAAAGGCAGGAUUUUGUGUUGUAUUGACUUUAUCAGCUUUCUGCACUCUUUUCUUGUCUUUUUUAAUGCACUUUUCGUUUAACAAGUCAACAUCAAUUUCUUUUGUUGUAAAAGGGUCAUUGGAAGGUGGCUUUCUUUUCGGAGAAAGUGUUUAUAGCCUUUGGCCUCUGCAAUCGGAGAGAUUGAGGUCUGCAGCGUAGAUCCUUCGGGGUUAGAUACAUUUGUGCUAAGUUAUAGCCUUUCAUAGACAACUUGUUGACUAUGAUCAGUCAUGUAGCUUACUCGCUUAUGCUAUUUUACCUACGCUUAGGAUGUUGAUGUGAUACUGCGAGCA
rnacentral:rRNA from 1 species